rnacentral:rRNA from 1 species
AUUGAACGCUGGCGGCAUGCUUUACACAUGCAAGUCGAACGGCAGCGGGGGCUUCGGCCUGCCGGCGAGUGGCGAACGGGUGAGUAAUGCAUCGGAACGUGCCCAAGUCGUGGGGGAUAACGUAUCGAAAGGUACGCUAAUACCGCAUACGUCCUGAGGGAGAAAGCGGGGGGAUUCUUCGGAACCUCGCGCGAUUGGAGCGGCCGAUGUCGGAUUAGCUAGUAGGUGAGGUAAAGGCUCACCUAGGCGACGAUCCGUAGCGGGUCUGAGAGGAUGAUCCGCCACACUGGGACUGAGACACGGCCCAGACUCCUACGGGAGGCAGCAGUGGGGAAUUUUGGACAAUGGGCGCAAGCCUGAUCCAGCCAUGCCGCGUGAGUGAAGAAGGCCUCGGUU